GGCUACUGCUAUUGGGAUUCGACUAAGCCAUGCGAGUCAAGGUGUCUUCGGACGCCGGCGUACGGCUCAGUAACACGUAGGUAACCUACCCUCAGGACUGAGAUAACCCCGGGAAACUGGGGCUAAUAUUAGAUAGAUAAAAGAUACUGGAAUGUUCUUUUAUCCAAAGCUUUUGCGCCUGAGGAUGGGCCUGCGUCCGAUUAGGUUGUUGGUGGGGUAAUGGCCCACCAAGCCUACGAUCGGUACGGGCAGUGAGAGCUGAAGCCCGGAGUUGGGGACUGAGACAAGGCCCCAGGCCCUACGGGGCGCAGCAGGCGCGAAACCUCUGCAAUGCGGGAAACCGUGACAGGGGGAUCCCAAGUGCUCAUGCAUUGCAUGGGCUGUUCUUUGGUCUAAGUAACCAGAGGAGUAAGGGCUGGGCAAGACCGGUGCCAGCCGCCGCGGUAAUACCGGCAGCUCAAGUGGUAGCCGCGAUUAUUGGGCCUAAAGCGUUCGUAGCCGGAUAAGUAAGUCUUUGGUUAAAUCCUGCGACUUAACCGUGGGAAAUCUAGAGAUACUGCUUGUCUUGAGACCGGGAGAGGUUGGAGGUACUCCCAGGGUAGGGGUGAAAUCCUGUAAUCCUGGGGGGACCACCUGUGGCGAAGGCGUCCAACUGGAACGGGUCUGACGGUGAGGGACGAAACCUAGGGGAGCGAGCCGGAUUAGAUACCCGGGUAGUCCUAGGCGUAAAUGAUGCGAGUUAAGUGUGGGGGCAUCCACGAGAUGGCCCUGUGCUGUAGGGUAGCCGUUAAACUCGCCGCCUGGGGAGUACGGUCGCAAGGCUGAAACUUAAAGGA
rnacentral:rRNA from 1 species